GAGUUUGAUCUUGGCUCAGGAUGAACGCUAGCGACAGGCCUAACACAUGCAAGUCGAGGGGCAUCGGGGGAGGAAGCUUGCUUCCGCCUGCCGGCGACCGGCGCACGGGUGAGUAACGCGUAUGCAACCUGCCCGGACCAGCGGGAUAACCCGGGGAAACCCGGCUAAUACCGCACGGCGCCGCCGAGGGGCAUCCCUUGGC
rnacentral:rRNA from 1 species